rnacentral:lncRNA from 1 species
CAAGCAAUUCUCCUCACUCAGCCUACUGAUUAGCUGGGAUUAUAGGCAUGCACCACCACACCCGGAUAAUUAUCGUAUUUUUAGUAGAGACAGGGUUUCACUAUGUUGGCCAGCCCGGUCUCGAACUCCUGACCUCAGGUGAUCCACCCACCUCAGCCUCCCAAAGCGCCGGAAGAUUAGAAAUUAUUAUGGCUCAGAAACCAUGCAGCCAAAACCCACAAGAUUUCUAACCUCUCCGAUUUUUCCUAUGUAUAACAAUUCUACUGUGAUCUAAGAUUGAUGUUCAAGGUAUUUUUCAGACCCUGCAUUCUCAUGGACCAGCUAGUACCACCCAGACUGGUAAACUGGCACAUCUGGUCUUGUGGCCCCCACCCAGAAACUGACACAGCACAAGGGGAUGACAGCCUUGACUCCCUAUAAUGCCGUUCCUAACCCAACCGUGAGCACUUCCCAUUCUCCAGCACCCUGUCCACCAAACUACCUUUUAAAAACCAUAGCCUCUGAAUUUUCAGGGACGCUCAUUUGAGGAAUAAUAAACCCUCCAGUCUACCGCUUAGCCAUCUCUGUGUGUAUUAAGCUCUUUCUCUGUUGCAAUCGCCCUCUCUUGAUAAAUUGGCUGUCCCUGGGCAGAGGGCAAGGUGAACCUGUCAGGAGGUUAUGCCCCCAUCAAUUCUGCCUUGGCUUUGCUGACUUGCAGUUGCCCCAGAUACUGUAAAUAUGGGGUCCGUGGCCACAGUUUCUUGCAUUCAGCACCCAGUGGCUGUUGCUGUGGCCACAUCCACAGGAUUCCUUUAACCCACAGCACUGGCUCUGCCCUGCCAAGGUUACUGCUUCAGAUCUGGGCAGGAACUCUCAUGCCUUCAUCUUUUCACAUCUCUGAAUUGUCCUCAUUCACUUUUCAAUUUCCAUUUACCUUUCUUCACUACAAGGGGUCUUUGCCUAUCCUAGUCUAUCACAAGUCACUGAGGGGCCCAAAGAGGCAGGCAUCUGCCUGAGACAUUUUAACAUAAAUUCUAUUGUCACAAUGAUAAUAAUUAUCAUUAUUGUUGCUAUUGUUUGUUUGCUCUUCUAACUCCUCACAGUCUGCCUCAAACAACACGGAGUUAGCUUAGAUAUAGGAAAACAGAGGAAACCACCAUACUUCAACUUUACUUCUAUAAGGAGAGAUGGGGAGCUCAGAAAAAAAAACCUAGUGGAGAUAGAACUGUUCGCCAUGAACGUAAGACGAAAGUUACGCAGUUUCUUUGUGAGGGAGCGACACCGUAGAUGUGAAAUGUGUUAUUUGCCCUUGCCAAAAAUCAAGACUAUAUCUUUUGCAGUCCUUUUAAUAAAAAGUACACAUUAGCUUUCAAGAAGUACCUCUCCAAGUGUUCAUGUGCACACACACGCACACACACAUGACAUGCACACACCCCAACAAAAAUAAAGCAGCCCCCACAGUUAGAUACCACAAAAUAUCUCAAAUAUCCCCAUUGCAAUCUUAGCAUAAGAAUCAGGAACUCAGAGUGGGCUGGAGAAUGGGCUUUAAUAUAUCAUUGCCACUAUGAAACUGGAAACACACACUUACAGAGUGGAUGUGUCAAAACGUACUGCUUUGAUUAUGUUAUUUCCUCUGCUUGGAAAUCCCUUCUUUCGGUCUCCAUGUCCAUCCCUGCAUAUGAACAUCUUUCCUAUACUAAGGCUGCCCUCAAAUGGCCCCCUCUAUGCUUUUUCCAUUCAUUUAAGUCAAAAAGAAAAAAAAAA